rnacentral:rRNA from 1 species
GAUGAACGCUGGCGGCGUGCCUAAUACAUGCAAGUCGAGCGAACGGACGAGAAGCUUGCUUCUCUGAUGUUAGCGGCGGACGGGUGAGUAACACGUGGAUAACCUACCUAUAAGACUGGGAUAACUUCGGGAAACCGGAGCUAAUACCGGAUAAUAUUUUGAACCGCAUGGUUCAAAAGUGAAAGACGGUCUUGCUGUCACUUAUAGAUGGAUCCGCGCUGCAUUAGCUAGUUGGUACGGUAACGGCUUACCAAGGCAACGAUGCAUAGCCGACCGGAGAGGGGGGUAGGCCACACUAGAACUGGGACGCGGUCCAGACUCCUACGGGACGCAGCAGUAGGGAAUCUUCCGCAAUGGGCGAAAGCCUGACGGAGCAGCGCCGCGUGAGUGAUGAAGGUCUUCGGAUCGUAAAACUCUGUUAUGAGGGAAGAACAUAUUUGUAAGGAACUGUGCACAUCUUGACGGUACCUAGUCAGAAAGCCACGGCUAACUACGUG